rnacentral:rRNA from 1 species
GGCGGACGGGUGAGUAACACGUGAGAAUUCGCCUUUAGGAGGGGGAUAACGGAUGGAAACAUUCGCUAAAACCCCAUAUGCCCCUGGGUGAAACAGAGGAGAUAAGUAAUACUGACUCUUACCUCUGCCUGAAGAGAAGCUCGCGGCUGAUUAGCUAGUUGGUAGGGUAAAGGCCUACCAAGGCGACGAUCAGUAGCUGGUCUGAGAGGACGAUCAGCCACACUGGAACUGAGACACGGUCCAGACUCCUACGGGAGGCAGCAGUGAGGAAUUUUCUGCAAUGGGCGAAAGCCUGACAGAGCAAUACCGCGUGAGGGAUGAAGACUUACUGAGUUGUAAACCUCGGUACCUUAAGGAAGAAGAUCUGACGGUACUUAAGGUGGAAAGCAUCGGCUAACUCCGUGCCAGCAGCCGCGGUAAGACGGGGGAUGCAAGUGUUAUCCGGAUUUACUGGGCGUAAAGCGUCUGCAGGUGGUUUUCUAAGUCUACUGUUAAAUCUUGAGGCUCAACCUCAAAUCUGCAGUAGAAACUAGAAGACUUGAGUAUAGUAGGGGUAGAGGGAAUUUCCAGUGGAGCGGUGAAAUGCGUAGAUAUUGGAAAGAACACCGAUGGCGAAGGCACUCUACUGGGCUAUUACUGACACUCAGAGACGAAAGCUAGGGGAGCAAAUGGGAUUAGAUACCCCAGUAGUCCUAGCCGUAAACGAUGGAUACUCGAUGUUGGACGUAUCAACCCGUUCAGUAUCUUAGCUAACGCGUUAAGUAUCCCGCCUGGGGAGUACGCUCGCAAGAGUGGAACUCAAAGGAAUUGACGGGGGCCCGCACAAGCGGUGGAGGAUGUGGUUUAAUUCGAUGCAACGCGAAGAACCUUACCAGGGUUUGCUAGAAGUGUUGG